rnacentral:rRNA from 1 species
GCCAGCAGCCAUAUCACUCUGCAACUCAGAACUGGUAACCCACUUAAGCUCAGCGGGUGUGAGCCUGGUCAGUACCUGGAUGGGAGACCUCCUGGGAAAGCUAAGGUUGCUCCUGGAA